rnacentral:rRNA from 1 species
UACGAAGGGUGCAAGCGUUACUCGGAAUUACUGGGCGUAAAGCGUGCGUAGGUGGUUUGUUAAGUCUGUUGUGAAAGCCCCGGGCUCAACCUGGGAAUGGCAAUGGAUACUGGCAAGCUAGAGUGCGGUAGAGGGUAGUGGAAUUCCCGGUGUAGCGGUGAAAUGCGUAGAGAUCGGGAGGAACACCAGUGGCGUAAGCGGCUAUCUGGACGGGUAUUGACGCUGAGGCACGAAAGCGUGGGGAUCAAACAGG